rnacentral:rRNA from 1 species
GAGUUUGAUCUUGGCUCAGAUUGAACGCUGGCGGCAUGCCUAACACAUGCAAGUCGAACGGUUUGUGGAGUUUACUCUACAAAUAGUGGCGGACGGGUGAGUAAUAUGUAGGAAUCUGCCUUGAGGUGGGGGAUAACUUGGGGAAACUCAAGCUAAUACCGCGUAAGUCGGAGACGAGAAAGCAGGGGAUCGAAAGACCUUGUGCCUUAAGAUGAGCCUACAUCGGAUUAGCUAGUUGGUGGGGUAAAGGCCUACCAAGGCGAUGAUCCGUAGCUGGUCUGAGAGGAUGACCAGCCACACUGGGACUGAGACACGGCCCAGACUCCUACGGGAGGCAGCAGUGGGGAAUAUUGGACAAUGGGGGCAACCCUGAUCCAGCAAUGCCGCGUGUGUGAAGAAGGCCUU